rnacentral:rRNA from 1 species
UAGAGUUUGAUCCUGGCUCAGAUUGAACGCUGGCGGCNUGCCNUACACAUGCNAGUCGAACGGCNGCACGGGGGCAACCCUGGUGGCGAGUGGCGAACGG